rnacentral:rRNA from 1 species
GACGAACCGUGCAAACGUUGUUCGGAAUCACUGGGCUUAGAGGGCGCGUAGGCGGGCGGCCAAGUCAGGGGUGAAAUCUUUCGGCUCAACCGGAAAAUUGCCUUUGAUACUGGCUGUCUAGAGCGAGGUAGGGGCAUGUGGAACUUCCGGUGGAGCGGUGAAAUGCGUUGAUAUCGGAAGGAACGCCGGUGGCGAAAGCGACGUGCUGGACCUCAACUGACGCUGAUGCGCGAAAGCUAGGGGAG